AUCGAACGCUGGCGGCAGGCUUAACACAUGCAAGUCGAGCGGAGCGGCGGACGGGUGAGUAAUGCCUAGGCAUCUGCCUGGUAGUGGUGGGUAACGUCCGGAAACGGGCGCUAAUAGCUCAUACUAUCAGAUUAGCCUUGGUCGGAUUAGCUAGGUGGUGGGGUAAAGGCCUACCAAGGCGACGAUCCGUAACUGGUAUGAGAGGAUGAUCAGUCACACUGGAACGGAGACACGGUCCAGACUCCUACGGGAGGCAGCAGUGGGGAAUAUUGGACAAUGGGCGAAAGCCUGAUCCAGCCAUGCCGCGGGUGGGAAGAAGGUCUUCGGAUUGUAAAGCACUUUAAGUUGGGAGGCGUUACCAACAGAAUAAGCACCGGCUAACUUCGUGCCAGCAGGCGCGGUAAUUC
rnacentral:rRNA from 1 species